UGUUUCAGCGAUGUCACAGUCUGAAUGUCAGGUUGUCAGGUGACAGUUUAGCUUUAAAUCUGGUUCCACAUCCAGCCAACUCCUGUACUUUGAAUUCAACGCAACAAGCACAGAAAAUCCACUUUCACAAGAGUAUGUGGUGGUGAACGUGUAACCAGAUGCCAGUCAGAUUUCGCUGCAUGAAGACUAACUUUAAAGAGCUGUCACAUGUAAGCGCUGUUAGACUGUCUUCCUCCUUUGAUGUCAAGUUCAUGUGCAUUUCACUGUCAGCGUUCACGAAUGGGUUUCUAAUCCACUUGUUUUCUGAGUUGUUUCUAGGUUGCAUCGAAGAUUAGCUAGCUUCAAAGUUUCGUUCGACAACACCUCGUAACAUACAACAUGCAGAGGUCGCGGCUCAUCUUCGCUACCGGUCCAAGUAAAUCCCAUUUCCCAGCAACCUGCUGCAAUAGCGUCAGCAAACCUGGUCCUGCAGGCCUCCAGGUCCAAUAGAAAGCUUGCCAACUGAGAAUAUUCCACUGCAGAUUUCACUGGAAUAAUGACUGCUGUGAGUUGGAAUGUAAUUUGUAUUCAUUGUUUUCCAGCACUUCGCUGUCCCUUCCCCCUGCAGGCAGCUCCAGUAUUCGCCAAGUUAUAAAUAAAUGGAAUACUGUGAUAAGGAGAGAAAGGAUCGAUGUUGUAAAUCUCCCUCCCGAUCAGAAAGGACGCUUUGUAUGGUGGGUGGUAUGCUGCCUCCUAGAUGGACCACCUUGAUGAGGAGCAGUAGGAGCGAGAGGCUGUAGCCCCGGAGCCAGCACUAACCCCGGAGCACACCCCUCACAGCACAGCACAGCACAGCGCACUCACCACGAUCCCUGGAAGAAAGGAGCACAGUUUUGUGCACAGAGGAUUGUGGUCAAGGAGUCUUUUCUUUUGUUUAUCCAGAGACUGGAAAGUUAUUGUUUUACCCCAAUACCAUAGUUGGCAGAGGGGUGGAUUCUUCUUCUUCUUCUUCUUCUUCUUCUUC